rnacentral:lncRNA from 1 species
GCAGCUGAAACUGAAGCACAAGAAGCCCUUGGAACUAUCAUCAGGACAUUGAGUCCAUUCUUGCACACCGAGAAAAUAUGCGACAGAUGAUAAGAAGUUUUUCUGAACCCUUUGGAAGAGACUUGCUCAGUAUCUCUGAUGGUAGAGGGAGAGCUCAUAAUCGUAGAGGACAUAAUGAUGGUGAAGAUUCUUUGACUGCAACGAGUUGUUCUCUUGUGCCUUUUGGCGAUUUUGGUGGUAUGGUUCGUAUCUUAAGACACAAAUCAUUUUAGCAAUAUUUUCUGACAAAUAUUUAUUUUUCAUUAACUCAAGCUGACUGAAUUGGCAUGCAGCCUCACUUCCAUAAUGGCUUUUUAAUGUUUGUACUGAAAACCUCUGUUUCAAGUAUCAGACUUACCUUAGAAAGUUUAGGCACAUGUUUCCUGAAGUAAGUCAUUUCAACAUAUAUAAAAUUCAUCUUCAAAAAUAAAAAGUAGAUUUUAUUGAAUGAAUAUUUGCUUGAUUUACAAAAGGGAUCCUCAUAGUUGUGUUUGAAAGUUGGGGACUUCCACAUGCUUAUGAUUACUUUCCAAAAGGUUUUUUAAAAAGUACUAAACUGUAGAUAGAUAAGCACAACGUUUGGAAAAGCACAGAUUAACUGCUUUCUCUAGGAUUUUGUUGCCACCUUGCCCAGGCAGCUUUUUCUUGUCUGUUCUUAAGAAUGGCCACUCUGCAACCAGCGUUUCUACCACCUGUUUCUUAGGGUUUUUGUGCUGUGUCUGUGAUGCUAGCUUCCAACACACUAAAAGCAUUCUGGGGAGUAGCAGAAAAUAACAUGAAUUUGGAACAUUUGUAUCUACAGUCUCAUGAAAACGGUUUUUUUUUAAUUAUUUUGUGCUACAAUUGAAUCAUUUGUUUCCUUGAAGUUUGGCAUACAGGUAUAACAUUUAUCCCUCCUGACCAGAGUAUUUAGUAAGACAAAUA